rnacentral:rRNA from 1 species
CCUACGGGAGGCAGCAGGGGGGAAUAUUGGACAAUGGGGGGAACCCUGAUCCAGCCAUGCCGCGUGUGUGAAGAAGGCCCUCGGGUUGUAAAGCACUUUCAGUGAGGAAGAACGCCUGGUGGUUAAUACCCAUCAGGAAAGACAUCACUCACAGAAGAAGCACCGGCUAACUCCGUGCCAGCAGCCGCGGUAAUACGGAGGGUGCGAGCGUUAAUCGGAAUUACUGGGCGUAAAGCGCGCGUAGGUGGCUUGAUAAGCCGGUUGUGAAAGCCCCGGGCUCAACCUGGGAACGGCAUCCGGAACUGUCAAGCUAGAGUGCAGGAGAGGAAGGUAGAAUUCCCGGUGUAGCGGUGAAAUGCGUAGAGAUCGGGAGGAAUACCAGUGGCGAAGGCGGCCUUCUGGACUGACACUGACACUGAGGUGCGAAAGCGUGGGUAGCAAACAGGAUUAGAUACCCCUGUAGUC